GUACUCGAGUGGCGAACGGGUGAGUAACACGUGGGUGAUCUGCCCUGCACUUUGGGAUAAGCCUGGGAAACUGGGUCUAAUACCGAAUAGGACCACGCGCUUCAUGGUGUGUGGUGGAAAGCUUUUGCGGUGUGGGAUGGGCCCGCGGCCUAUCAGCUUGUUGGUGGGGUAAUGGCCUACCAAGGCGACGACGGGUAUCCGGCCUGAGAGGGUGACCGGCCACACUGGGACUGAGAUACGGCCCAGACUCCUACGGGAGGCAGCAGUGGGGAAUAUUGCACAAUGGGCGCAAGCCUGAUGCAGCGACGCCGCGUGAGGGAUGACGGCCUUUCGGGUUGUAAACCUCUUUCAAUAGGGACGAAGCGCAAGUGACGGUACCUAUAGAAGAAGCACCGGCCAACUACGUGCCAGCAGCCGCGGUAAUACGUAGGGUGCGAGCGUUGUCCGGAAUUACUGGGCGUAAAGAGCUCGUAGGUGGUUUGUCGCGUUGUUCGUGAAAACUCACAGCUUAACUGUGGGCGUGCGGGCGAUACGGGCAGACUAGAGUACUGCAGGGGAGACUGGAAUUCCUGGUGUAGCGGUGGAAUGCGCAGAUAUCAGGAGGAACACCGGUGGCGAAGGCGGGUCUCUGGGCAGUAACUGACGCUGAGGAGCGAAAGCGUGGGGAGCGAACAGGAUUAGAUACCCUGGUAGUCCACGCCGUAAACGGUGGGUACUAGGUGUGGGUUCCUUCCUUGGGAUCCGUGCCGUAGCUAACGCAUUAAGUACCCCGCCUGGGGAGUACGGCCGCAAGGCUAAAACUCAAAGGAAUUGACGGGGGCCCGCACAAGCGGCGGAGCAUGUGGAUUAAUUCGAUGCAACGCGAAGAACCUUACCUGGGUUUGACAUGCACAGGACGCCGGCAGAGAUGUCGGUUCCCUUGUGGCCUGUGUGCAGGUGGUGCAUGGCUGUCGUCAGCUCGUGUCGUGAGAUGUUGGGUUAAGUCCCGCAACGAGCGCAACCCUUGUCCUAUGUUGCCAGCGGGUUAUGCCGGGGACUCGUAGGAGACUGCCGGGGUCAACUCGGAGGAAGGUGGGGAUGACGUCAAGUCAUCAUGCCCCUUAUGUCCAGGGCUUCACACAUGCUACAAUGGCCGGUACAAAGGGCUGCGAUGCCGUGAGGUGGAGCGAAUCCUUUCAAAGCCGGUCUCAGUUCGGAUCGGGGUCUGCAACUCGACCCCGUGAAGUCGGAGUCGCUAGUAAUCGCAGAUCAGCAACGCUGCGGUGAAUACGUUCCCGGGCCUUGUACACACCGCCCGUCACGUCAUGAAAGUCGGUAACACCCGAAGCCGG
rnacentral:rRNA from 1 species